rnacentral:lncRNA from 1 species
GAGCAGCACCACAACAACGAUUACUUCUGCAUCUUCUCUGUUCAAUGGCAGCCGCCAUAGCUAGUCUUCACACCGAUAGUUGCAGCAGCAGCAGCACCAUCAGCAUUCCAUGAUAACUUGUGCAUCUUCUUUGUCUGAUGGAAGCCACAGUGCAGCUGAAGUUUUCAUUAGUGUCCAGCAGCAACUUCAUCACCUCUGCUGCAGCCUUAAGUAGCCGCAUCUCCUCUAUUACAGCCGUGAGCAGCCAUAAACUCAACUGUGACCAGUAGUAGGAGAGUUAUAAGCCUCAGCAGCCUUGCUUCCUUAUUUUCUCUCCCUUGAAACAUCUGCAGUAGCAGACAUCUCGAGCCAGAGGCAGCGACAGCUCCAGUGACAUCUACAGCUUCUUUUCUGGUCAUGGAAGCCACAACAACCAAGCAACAAUCUCUUCCUCUCCUCUGGACCAGCACCGUGAGCACAACCUAUAAACGGUGAUAUUUUCUUCCACAGCUUCCAGCCUCUCUUCUCAGUCCAGUAGCAGCCGCAAGAUCUUCAUCCUCCCAAUCUAGCAAACAGAAAACUGUCCUCUUACUCCAGAUCAACAUUCAGCAACGGACAACUACUUCACCUUCAUAGCCCUGCCCCCGUGACAUCAUAGAACCAACAGCACCUGAAAGCAAAGGAAGUUAAUUUAUACGUUAGGUAGUCAAUCAG